ACCUGCCGUUGCUCCUGCCAUUCCCCGAUCCUGGGCCGGAAGACGCCGGAGGGAGUCUGUUCAAAUGAGGGACUCGGGCUGUGCCAUUCCCAUGCAUUACAAGGAAGGAAAUUGGUAAGGAAUCGGGUCUGCGCGGCGCCGCCUGCGGCACACGCUCUGCUGCUUCCUGGAGUCUCUGCGCCACAGGACAGGGAAACGCCUUCGGCUGCCCAGGCUCCUUCCCAGGCGUUCGGAGCUCCCCCCAGUGUCGGCUCUGGGUGGUGCAGGACAGGCAGAAGGAGCCCUCCAUUCCUUGCACGGGGCGGGCCCUACAAGGCUGUGGUCAGCCGUGCUCUGGGGGCAGAGAUCUGUGCGCCAUCCUCAGGCAGCCUUCACAGGGCGGUUCCUUCUGAGACAGCCGGAGGCGGAGCCUCUCCUCCGAGGGGCGGGGCCACCACUCUGCAGGUUCAGCCACAGCCUCGCCCUGGCUCUGUCAGGGCCGCCAUCUUCGUUUUGGAAGCCUGUCUGCCGCUUUCAAGGUCGCCGCCAUGUUUACGUCACAGUUUGACCCCUAACAGGCCUGUCACUUUACCGCCGGGGGAGGAGCUCGGCGGCAUUCCAGGGGGCGUCUGGGGCUUCACACCAGACCCCGCAGGCCUUUGUUCAGAAGAUGGCCCAUUCAGGCAGGACCCAGACGGGGACAGUUCCGGGGGUGAAGUUGUUCCUCUUGUUAGGGCGGGAGGUGCAGCCCGGAACUCGCACGGCCAGUCUGCUCUUGGAGGGAAGGUCCGAAUCUCCCCCCUCCCCCCCCCCCCCAAGACCCGAGAUCUAGACCCGUCUGUGCAGCCUUCCCGAGGCUUGGCCGUCAGCCUGCGAAGCCAGUCCAGCUGCCUGGAGGAUUUCCGCCCACUUUGGGGGGGGGCAGAGCUGGCCUGGGACGAUGGGGGUGGUUGUUGCACACCAGAGCCUGGCGGCAGGAUGUUUGUUGCCUUCCAGGGACAGCAGAACCAUCCGCCCCAGGCGGACAUGCAGGGCACAAGAGCAGGGCCAGGAGCUUGA
rnacentral:lncRNA from 1 species